rnacentral:rRNA from 1 species
ACCAACAGGGAUUGCCCUAGUAACGGCGAGUGAAGCGGCAACAGCUCAGAUUUGAAAUCUGGCCCCCCCAGGGCCCGAGUUGUAAUCUGUAGAGGAUGCUUCGGCUUAAGCCCCGGUCUAAGUUCCUUGGAACAGGACGUCACAGAGGGUGAGAAUCCCGUACGUGGCCGGCGGCCUCCGCCAUGUGAAGCUCCUUCGACGAGUCGAGUUGUUUGGGAAUGCAGCUCUAAGCGGGAGGUAAAUUUCUUCUAAAGCUAAAUAUAAGCCAGAGACCGAUAGCGCACAAGUAGAGUGAUCGAAAGAUGAAAAGCACUUUGGAAAGAGAGUUAAAAAGUACGUGAAAUUGUUGAAAGGGAAGCGCCUGCGACCAGACCUGCCCGUGGAUGCUCAGCCGGCCCUCCGGCCGGCGUACUCUUCCGCGGGCAGGCCAGCAUCGGUUCGGGCGGCCAGAUAAAGGCCUCGGGAAUGUGGCUCCCCUCGGGGAGUGUUAUAGCCCUUGGUGCAAUGUGGCCAGCCUGGACCGAGGCCCGCGCUUCGGCUAGGAUGCUGGCUUAAUGGUCGUAGGCGGCCCGUCUUGAAACACGGACCAAGGAGUCGAACAUCUAUGCGAGUGUUUGGGUGUCAAACCCGUGCGCGUAAUGAAAGUGAACGGAGGUGGGAGCCCUCGGGCGCACCAUCGACCGAUCCUGAUGUCUUCGGAUGGAUUUGAGUAAGAGCAUAGCUGUUCGGACCCGAAAGAUGGUGAACUAUGCCUAAAUAGGGUGAAGUCAGGCGAAAGCCUGAUGGAAGCUCGCAGCGGUUCUGACGUGCAAAUCGAUCGUCAAAUUUGGGUAUAGGGGCGAAAGACUAAUCGAACCAUCUA